ensembl:lncRNA
GAUGCAACCAGAGGCUCUGAGUUCCUUCUCCAACGAAACAAAAGCCAAAAAAUAAACAAAAUAAAAUCAAAUGACAUAAAAAUGCUGCAGUCAACAACCUGCCAGUCUGGCCUUAUUGUGCCAUAGGUUAGAUAGCAUGUUCUGUCACUCAGGACCCAGGGCACAGCCUGAAUCUCUGUCCAAUCAGCGACCCUGGCCUGAGAACUGCCCAAUCAGGCCUUCAGCCGGAGAGGAGGGGGCGGGCUUUCCCAUCGCAGAGGCCUUCAUCUCCGGAGCUGUCCGGUCUGGGAUCGAUAGUGAUAGUCUGGCACCCGCUCCUUUGCUCUAGAACCCCUGGGGGCUGUAAUGCAGCCCUUUUGCUCCGUGACCUGCAGAAGCUGGGAGAUCCCUAGAGAGACACUCCAGAAGCCAAGACAUGGGUUGGGGGAGACAGCAGGAGUGAAUCAAACAGGAUUCACAGGCUGAUGAUCUUGCACGUCCAGCACUACCUUCUAUAGCUGUCUUCUCAGCAGGCUCACAGUCCACCUCAAACUCAUCAUACAUGAACUGCCGAGUCAAAGAAGACUUGCCCACCCUAUUGUGCCCACCAUGAUGACUUUGCUCCAGGCCAGACAAUUCUAACCCUUAGGCUUUUUGUGGCUGUCUUGUGUCACUGAGUUUUCACCAGAGGAUUAAGAAGACAUGGCACUGCUGGCCGGUUCACUGCCCCGUGUGUUUCCAAAGCCACAGCUGAGAAAAUCCACUUAAAGGAAGAAAUUUUGGGCUCAUGCUUUCAGAGAUUUGAGUUGGCUCUGGAGAGACAGCACAUCACUGUGAAAGUGCAUAUUGGUGAACAACUGCUCACCUCGUGGCAGCCAGAACGCAAAGGGAACACAAAGGAUUGUGACAAAAUAAACACCUGAAGCCGUGCCGCCAGUAUCUAUUCCUUCCAACUAUGCUCCAUUUCCUAAAGUUCCACCACCUGACAAUAGCCCAUAUAAGUAUGAAUCCAGUCUGGAAAAUCUGGUCAGAGCCCUUGUGACACAAUCACCAGCCGAAGACCCCAGCUCCCAGCAGUGUUGCUCCAACACAUGACAUUUGAGGGUACGAUUCAGAUCCAAACCAUGAGAGUUUUCACAGGGAGACCUCCCAUAGCGAAUUCUUGUCAUGUCAUGAGAAAGCAGUGAUUAAUAACAGCAAAGGUUCGAAAGUAGAUCUGUCAGAUCCUGUUUCACACUCAUAGAGGGGUCUUUACACAAAUUUUCAUUACGAAGUUAUUUAAAAUUCAGUAAUUCACUCACCAAAUAUAGCUUGUUUUUGUAGAUUACUGUUAAAAUCAAAUUAAUUGAAUUUAAUUCUGUUAAAAUUUUAACUGGGGCCAGGCAUUUAGCUCAGUGGUUUCGCCGCCGGCUGCGCAACUGCAAGGACCUGAGUUCGAUCCCCUGUACCAAAGAAAAACAAAAUUUUAACUCAAUUUUCUUAUAAAAGUAAAAUUCAUUUGACAUUGUGGUAUUUAAAUUCAAUUGAAAUUUACAUAAUUUAUCUUUUAAUUUUUUAUUAGUACAUGCUUGUGAUAUAUAAUGAAUACGUUUGUCAUGGAUAAUUGGUACAUAUACACAUCACAUCUUAAUCUCUUUUACUUUUCCUUCCUCCUCCCUCCUUCUCCUUUCCUUCCAUCCCUAUAUCCCCUUCUCAUCUGCAAAAGUUCUGCCUCUCUGUUUCCUAUCAUCUCUUUUAUUUUUUAUUUUAAAUUACUUACACUUUGGGUUUCUCAUAUAAGAGAAACCAUGCAAUAUUCAACUUGUAUCUGAUGUAUUUCACUUAGCAUUAUGGAUUUUGGAUCAUUAGCAAGGUGAAUUUUCCUAUUCAUGACUCAAAUUUAUCCUUUUUAUGCCUGAGUAAUACUCCAUUGUGUAUACACACCAAAUUUCAUUUAUCUAUUCAUGGGUUGAUGGACAGAUAGACCAUAUCCAAGAAUUAUCUAGAAACAUGGUGUUAUAGAAUUAGGUAUAAACAUGGGUCUGCAUGUAUGACUGUAAUAUGUUUUUAACUCUUUGGUAAAGAUCCUCAGAAGGGCUGUAUCUAGGUAAAAUGGAAUUUCUAUUUUUAGUUUUUUGAGGAAUUUUCAUACUGAUUUCCACAGUGGUUGUACUAGUUUAUAUUCCCACCAACAGUGUAGAAGAGGUUCUUUUUCCCCACAACCAUCCCAGCAUUUGCAGUAUUUUCAGUUUGUGAUGAUAGCCAUUCUUUGUGGAGUAAGAUGGAAUCUCAGUGUUUUUUUAAUUUGCACUUCUCCAGUAGCCAAAGAUGCUAAACAUUUUUUCAUUUACUGGUCAUUUGUAUUUAUUGGUCAUUCUUCUUCUGAGAAGUGUCUGUACAUUUUAAUAGUCCAUUUUUUUUUGACUGGAUCGUUUAUUUUGAGAGGUCUAAUUUCUUUUCUUUCUUUUUAUUUUUUUGAGACAGAGUCUUGCUAUGUAGUUUAGGCAGGCCUUGAGCUCACUGUGUAGCUCAGGCUGGCCUCAAAGUUGCACUUGUCUCCAGAAUGCUGAGAUUACAGGUGUGCCAUCCAGCUUUUAGUUCUUUAUGUAGUCUAGAUAUUAGUCCUCAGUCCAAGGAGUAGCUGGCAAAACAUUUUUCUAUUGUGUAGGUUGUCUCUUCACUCUGUUGGUUUUUUCCUUUGUUGUGCAGAAGCAUUUUAAUAUAUUUAAAUUUGUCCCUAUUUGUUGAGUCUUGGUGUUAUUUCUUGUGCAAUUGGAAUUCUAUUCAAAGAGUUCUUGCCUAUGCCUAUGUCUUCAAGAGUUUUACCUAUAUUAUCUUUCAGCAGAUUCAGUAUUUGUGUGGGGAUUUUUGGUACUGAGGAUCAAACUUGGGACCUUGUGCUUGCAAGGCAGGUGGCGGAACCACUGAGCUAAAUCCCUGGCCCAAUAUUUAUAUUUUAAUAUUUAGGAUUUUGACUCAUUUUUAUUUUUAUUUUAGUACAAGGUGAGAGAUAUGGUUCUAGGUUCAUUUUUCUGCAUGUAGAUAACCAAUUUCUCCAGCAACAUUUGUUAAAGAGUCAUUUUUCCAGCAUAUGCUUUUGGCCCAUUUGUCAAAGAUCAGAUGGCUAAAUGUGCCUGGAGUUGUUUUUAUAACCUCUGUUCUGUUCCCUUGAUCCACUGAACUGCAUGUCUGUUUUUGUGCCAGUAUCAUGCUGUUUUUAUCAUUGUAAUUUUGUAAUAUAGCUUGAAAUCUACAUUUGUGAUGCCUCUUGCUUUGCUCUUAUUGCCAAGGAUUGUUUUUGCUAUUCUGCAUCUCUUCAGCUUCUAUAUAAAUUUUAGAGUUUUUUUCUAGUACUGUGAGGAAUGCUAUUAGUAUUUUGAUUGCAAUAGGCAAUAUGGCUAUUUUUUUUUUUUUUUUUUUUGGUACCGGGGAUCAAACUCGUGUCCUUGCACUUGUGAGGCAGGCAGUGGAACCACUGAGCUAAAUCCCCAGCCCAGCAAUAUGGCUAUUUUGAUGAUAUUGGUUCUGCAUAUUCAGGAACAGAGGGUAUCAUUCCAUUUUUUUAUGUUCUCUUCAAUCUCCUUUUCAGAUUACUAUAGUUUUUUACUUCCUUGUUUAGUUUAAUGCGUAAGGAUUUAAUUUUUUGAAUCUACUGUGAAAAGAAUUGCUUUCCUAAUUCCUUUCUCAGUUGGUUGAUUGUUAGUGUACAGGAAUGUAUUGAGUUUUGUGUGUUUAUUUACUUUGUAUUCUUGUACUUUGCUAAAUUUGUUUAUUAGGCGUAAGAGUCUUUCUGUGGAGUUUUCUUUAUGGGGAAGGUAUACUGUGGAGAAGAUCAUGUCAUCUGUGAAUAAGGGUAGUUUGACUUCUUCAUUUCCUGUAUGUAUCGCUUUUAUUUCUUUUUCUUCCCAGAUAACUAUGACUACAUUUUUGAUUACUAUAUUUAAUGGGAGUGGUGAAAGUGGACACCCUUGUAGUGUUCUUGCUAGUAGAGAAAAAGCUUUAAGUUUUUCCCCAUUUAGUGUGAUGUUGACAGUGGAUUUGUCGUAAACAUCUUGUCAGUUUGAGAUUUGUUCCUUCCAUACAUAUUUUCAUUAGAAUUUUAUCAUGAAUGGAUGUUGCAUCUUGUCAAUGACUUUUUCUCCAUCUAUUUAGAUGAUUAUGUGAUUUUUGUCCUUGCUUCUGUUUAUGACGUAUUGGACUUGUUGCUUUGUGUAUAUUGAGACAAGGUUAUGUAUACUGAACCUUGCAUCCCCGGCAUGAAGCCAACUCAGUCAUGCUGUAUGAUCUUUUUAAUGGUUUGUUGCAUUCAGUUUGCCAGUAUCUUGUUAAGGACUUUUGCAUCCCUGUUUAUGAAGGAGAUUGGAUUGGGUUUCUUCCUUUUCUCUUUCUUUCUUUUUUUCUCUCUCUUUUCCCUUCCUUCCUUCCUUCCUUCCUUCUUUUCCUUCCUUCCUUUUUUCUUGUCCUUAUCAGGUUUUGACAACAAGGUCACAUUAGCUUGCAAGAAUGAGUUUGGCAGCAGUCUUUCCCUUUCAAUUUCAUUGGAGGUUUUUGGGGUUUUUUUGGUACUGGGGAUCGAACUUGGGUCCUUGUGCUUGCGCAGCAGGCGGCGAGACCACUGAGCUAAAUCCCCGGCCCCCUCAUUGGAGGUUUUAAGGAGUAAUGGUGUUUGAUUGUCCCUGAAGUUGUGGUAUAAUUCUUCAGUUGGUUUUUCUUUAUUGGUAGAAUUUUUAUUACUGCCUCUAUUUCAGUGCCUAUUAUGAGUCUAUUUGGAGUUUUUAUAUCUUCUUGCUUUAAUUUUGGUAAUUCAUACAUGUCUAGAAAUUUAUCCAUUUCUUCUAGGUUCUUCAGUUUACAGGAAUAUAAAUUUUUGUAGUAGUUUCAUAUAAUCCUGUGGAUUUCAGCACUGUUAAUUGUAACUUGUCCUUUUUAUUUCUAAUUGCCUUGAUAUGGAUUUUUCUUUCAUUUCUUGGUAACAUUGGCUAAGGGUUUAUUAAUCUUGGUUAUCUUUUUAAAGAAUCAACUCUGAUUCAUUGAUCCUUUGUACUUUUUUUUGUCUCAGUUGUAUUAAUUUCCACUCUAAUCUUUGUAAUUUCCUUUCAUCUACUAAUUUCAGAUUUUAACUGCUAUUAUUUUUCUAAGAUCUUGAGAUGCAGCAGUAGGUUAUUCGGGAUUGCUCAGUUUUUUACUACUUUUAUGCUGCAGAUUGAAGAUCAGUUAGGAUAGAAAAUCUCUGUCACUGCUGUGGAGAUCUUUGUAGUUAGAGACUGUUUCCCUGUGAUGUGUCUUUGUGCUUGGUUAUGUUUUGGAAUUUAUAUCCCUCUUCACCUUACUUAGCAUAUAAUUUGAUAGCCUUCUUAGUAGCUACAGUUCUUGAGUCUUGAUCCCCACCACCACAUAGAGAGGAGAGAAUGAGCCACAGUAAUAUUGAUAACACAAAGACAAACUAGAUAUUAACAUUCAGUGAAAGUCAAUGAACAGCAACAAAUAUGCCAUGACUGGCAAUAGCAAAGAAAUCAGCAAUACUAAUAGAAUCCAAGAUAAAUUGGAUAUUGACAUACCAUAAACAUCAAUAAGAGCUACAACUAUUCCACACUUAACUAUAAAAAAAGAGAUCCACAUUAGUUAUAUAAACACAAAGACAAACCAAAUAUUGACAUGUAAUAAAUAUAUACUAAAUACAACUACUAUAACAUUACUAAUAAUAGAAAAGAAUUCAGCAAUAAUAGCAUAUAGUCAACCAAAUGUCAAAAAAUUAAUGAAGCAUAAUACUAGUAAUAAUAAAAUGGAGAGGAUGCUGAAAGGAAAACAAAAAAAAUGAAAUUUGUAAAAGAAAGAAAAGAAAAAUGAGGAGGAAGAGGAAAAAGUGAGACAAAGAAUAAAAGAAAGUUAAUUGAAUUAAGUAAAAGUAAUAGAAAAAGCAAACAAGAAAAAAAAAAGCCAAAAAGAAAAAGACUAAGCACAGCAAAAGGAAGGAGAAAGAAAAAAAGAAGAAAAAGUUUGCAAAACAAAGAAAAAGAAAAAAUAAAUCCAAAAAAUUUCUUUCUAUAAUUGGGUGAGUGGAUUCUUUCCAGGGCACAUAGGCUUGGAACCCAUCUAUGGCGAACGGAUAGUGCAUCUCAACCAGUGCUUAUUUUAUCUCCACACCCGCUUCUUUUGUAUGUGUGUGUGCUGAGUCCUGCCCUGCCUUUCCUGCUGGGUGGGGUAUCUGCCUUAGGGCUGUAUUCACUCCAGCAGCUAAUCACCACCUAGCUUUUUUUUUUGGCAUCCUCCAUAUUUAUAUAUUUAUAUUAAUAUUAUAUUGUACUACUGUGCAUUACAUAACAAAAAAUGAAAUCCUAAGAUAAUAUAAAAAUGAACAACUUUCUCGCAGAUAAUCGGCUAACAUCUCAAAAUGACAUAUAUUCAGGGUAACACUGAAUGACAGUGUUAAAUUUAAAUUUCAAAUCAUCAUAUCUGCUCUUCAGCCAUGCAGAAAGUACUGAUGCAUGCUACAAGCCCUGAAAAUAGUAUGCUAAAAGCAAGAGGCCAGACACAAAAGGCCGCAUAUUACCUGACUCCAUUUACAGGAAACACACAACCGGAAAAAUCCAUAGAGACAGGAAGUAGACUGGUGGCCCUCAGUAGCAGGAGGAAUGGAGGGAGACACCUCUGGGUGCCAGAGGUGUGGGGUUUCUUUUUGGGGUGAUAAAAAUGUUCUGAAAAUAAACACAAGUAAUGGGUGCAUGUCGUGAGCAUACUGAAAAGCACUGGAUCACAUACUUUUCGAAAGAGUGAAUGUUACAGUCUUUUAGUUACAUCUCAAUUUUUCUUUUUUUUAAAAAAAAAGUAUCAAUAAAUAAGCUAAGGGAAAUACAUCACAUCUCCUUGGCCCAUUAUGGUUUCAUCUCACAAUGCACUGGCCAUUCCCUUGCUGUUUGCUUGGCCUUAUAUUAAUAAUCUGGAGUUUUCCCUGCCAGAAUCUUUUAAAGCCACCUGCUGUCUUUAUGAUGUUAGUUUAGUUAAGUAACAUCCUUAAAGCCAGUCACGUGGACACUCAUAAACCACAGUCUGCCUUUCAGCACACUGCAAAUCAAUCAUGGUAGAACUGGGCUCCUUCCGCAGCAGGCUCCGAGAACCGGCCUGGGGCACGCCUACCUGUUCCCCGAGGGCUGGUCCCCUGCUCAUCCUCCACACUCUCAGUAAGAUGGAAACUGCACGAAUUUUGGAAAUGAAAACAUGGAGAGAUCCUCCAGACUCUUCCAGUCCCCCAGGGGUGACCCUGCAGACUCUGCCAUGGGUCACGGGCCGUUCUGCACCCUGGAAUCACCCGGUUCACCCUUGAAAGCUUCAGGUCUGGGCGCAACUCCCCAGGGCUUCUGACUCUGGCCGAGACCUGACCCUGUGCAGCAGAUGCCAUGCUUUAGGAAAGAGUGCUGCAAAUCACUGGCCGGUGAAAGGUCGGGGAGCGGGGAAAGGCACAGGGCACACUCUAAGACGAGCUGGCUCUGAUGGUUCCACUCUAAACGCGCUAGAAAAAAAAUCUCUGAACUGUGUACUUAUCAGGGCUAGGGUUUUAUUUAAUUAAUUUAUUUAUUUAUUUUUGCUUAAAUUCUUUUAUUGGUACAUUUUAGGUAUACAGUACAUUUACAUUUAUCAUUGGGUGCUUGUACCUGUACAUGAGUAUCUUGGUUCUUAUUUUUUCCCCAUUUCCUGUGCCCCCUUCACCCCCUCCACAUUUUGUUUCCAUUUUUUCCUUUUCUCAUAAUUUUUCCUUUCCCUUCUUUCCUUUCCCCAUCCCCUGCCACUUUCCCUACACUUUUGGACCUUUUCCUGUUUCAAUUAUCAAUUAUUCGUUUUAAUCGUUUUAAUCCUUAUUUACACUUUCAGUUUCUCACACUAGAGAAUCUAUUCGGUAUUUACACAUGUGUGUCCUAUUUAUUGCACUGAAGAGUAUGGCCUCAACGUGCAUCCGUUUAGCUAUACAUUUCUCUAGUUUGUCAUUCUUUAUGGCUGAGUAGUACUCCAUUUUAUUAAAAAAAAAAACCCACAUCUUCUUUAUCCAGUUUCCAGUUGAUGAGCACUUGGACUGUUUCCAAGCUUUAGCUAUUACAAACUGUCCCGCUAUAAACAUGGGUGCACAUGUAUCGCUGUGGUAUGAUUCUUUUAAUUCUUUUGGGAAGAUACCCAGCAGGGGAAUAGCUGGGUCAAAUGGGACCUCUAGUCCUAGUUCUUUGAGGUAUCUCCAUACUGAUUUCCACAGUGGUUGCCCCAGUCUGCACUCCCACCAACAAUGGAGAAGGCUUCCUUUCUCCCCACACCCCUGCCAGCAUUUGUUAUUGGUUGAUUUUUUGAUAGCAUAGCAGCCAUUCUUUCUGGGGUGAGGUGGAAUCUCAGUGUUGUUUUCACCUGCAUCUCUUGAAUGACCAGUGAGGUUGAACAUUUUUUUGUAUGUUUAUUUGCUGCUUUUACUUCUUUGUCUGAGAAAUGUCUGUUCAUUUCAGAUAGGGCUAGGGUUUUUUAAAGCUAUUAAAAACUAUGAAAAAGUCCUCAUAUGUCUCAUCGCAGGAGCAGCCAUGUGCUCCCCAAAGGACCUGUAGAUGUCCAGGGAGGAAGACGCACAUGGCCUCACGCAGACCUCGCCCACAACCUUGAACCUCACUGCCUGCGACCCAAGACCAAGGCGACCUCCAUUUAUGAGCUUCCGCCAGGAAGGAGAGUGAGACAGAGUUCAUGACAAGACGUGUCAUUUUCUGACUUUUAACACUUUACACAGUGUUAACUGUGCGCAACUGAAAAUGAACCAUAAACACUGAAAUAAUAGACAAAUUCCCCGAGACACAGUGGCUUCUGUAAAUAUCACAAGCUCUUAAAAAUCCCACCAACACAGGCCAGGGCACCUCUCUGCCAGACACCCCAUGUGGGAAGCUGUCUGGCAUAAUCCCAGGGGAGGCCUGCCGUCCGUCAGACGGAGAGGGCUUGUCCAUCACAGUCAGACACAGGCCCCACAGAGGAGCAAGGAUGGGGCCAGGGCUGCUGGCUGGGAAGAAGGGGCUUCUCCAAGACAGAAAGGUGCUGUCUCGCUGCCCUGAACUCGGGAUCUGGAAGGGGACACAGCUCACACCUCUGAGCCCACAGGGCAAGCAGGGAAGAGAAGGGAACCAGUGCAGGUGAUCAGGCACAGGAGAGGGUCGGCUUCACCGAGCAGGGAGAGGGCGUGAAGACAAAUGGCUGGACUGGUGAUCUGGUGGCAGCAGGCACUGCUCUCCACCUAGGUUUACAGCCUGUGGUCUUGUGAGGUGACCCCUUUGCUCCAGAGGCCCCUCUGUCUCUACAUCCCAGGAUAGGACAACUGUCCAAGCUGAGGUGUAUUCGUCACAUUGGCAGACCAGGAAAGCAAAUAGACCACUGAGCUCUGUGUUGGACAUAGGCAGCAAAGGAGGAGCGUCUGGAGCAGUCUGCUGGACUUAAUAACAGCAAUUUCGACCCAGACCCCUCAGAAAUCCACAUACAACUGGCCCAGCUUUUCUCCACAGAAGAUAGGACCACUGUAUCCUUCCUGGCCUGACCUCAGCACUCCUUAAACUUGCGAGGCGUCUAUGCCUAGUCUGCCUCUGCUCUAUGACUGUCUCUUGUGGUCUGUCCCCAUCUCUUAGCCAGUAAUCAUGGUAGGGUGACCCCAGAAACCCUGAAGUGUAGUUGUUCUGUAACUUCUGAUUCCUGAAGUAGCUCAGUCUUAAAUAAUUAACCCCUCCCCAAAAUGGCUCCUGAUUUAUUACUCUGAAAUGUGGCUGCUGUAAUGGAUUUCUCCUCCAACUCUAGCCUGCCAUGUGAAAGGAGUCACUUUCAGAGUAAGAUUUCACACCCUAUUCAGUUUACAAUAACAAUGUGCUUUUCUUGCUUGGGGCUAGUGCUACCAGUCUGUUGUUUCUCCCUUGAUCUGCCAACAGUUUCUGGUUUAUCUUGUGUUUGUGGAGAUGAGUCUGGCUCCUCAGGAGCCAUAGUUGGUGUUCAGAUUGCUUUGGGGUUGAGGAAGCAUUGUCUUCAGUUUUUACAUGAUUUCUAGUUUUCUUUUUAGCUCUUUCUUGAUUUCUGGAGCUCUUCUUCCUUUUCUCUUUGAAAAGUUGUUGUUUUCCUGGUGUUUGGAUUCCAGGUCCUGAUAUGCUUCCAGCCUUUACUCUGUCAUCUUCUUAUCAGAAAUUUGUGAAAUUUUGACACAUCAAAAAUUUUGUUACCACCCAAUAUUAUUUGAGACUCCAUUUUAUAUAUAGAUAACACAGCUUGGGAAACACUGAUUCACCAGAUACACUUCCCCCCAUCUUUUCUACUCUCUCAGUGUUGAGUCAACUAAGUCAAAUGAGAAUAAAGCUCAUUUCCUAAUAUAGAAGUCUCUUUACUGGGAAAGCCCUUCAGAGGAGAACUGUACCUUAGUGAGACAUGGCCUAAAUCCCAUUCAGUUAAGGUUGUGAGUUCUCACUUCUCAGCCAGUAGGGUUGAGAUACCAAUUUUUAACAUGGAAAUUCACUAUUUGACUUAGUUACUUUUCUUGUUGCUGAAACAAAAUUACCGACAUCCAUAAGUUAAAGGAAGAAAGGUUUAUUUAGCUCACAAUUUGUUAAUGUUUCAGUCCAUAGGUGGCUGGCACCAAGGCAGGGUGGCUUGGCAGAGGGGCAUUUCAGAGGAGAAACAGUUCAUGGCAUGGCAGGGAAGGCAACUGGCAGCAAGCAGCAAGAAAUAACAGCAGGACCAGACCACAUCUCCCUUUUAUCCCUUUCAGACUACCUGCUUUUUGGGUGGUGACACCUACACCCAGGGUUGACCUUCCCAUUAUCCAUACCCAGAACUAUGCUAAAUCCAUCAGUGGACUGAUUUAGUAAUCACACAUCCUUAAUUCCAGUAUCGUGCCCUCAAUCCCAGGAUCACACCUUUAAUGUACACUCACACACUUAAGAUCUACCACCUCCAAAAAACCCCACCUAUGACUGGAUGAAGCGUUGGGGGGACUUCUAGAAACAAGUCGUAAUACCACCCUUUAUCCUGUUUAAUCAAGACAGUUCUGAAGGCGUAUUAUUAAAGAGGCCUAGACAGUGGAAGUGAAGGGACACUGUAGACCUUAGUGGGAUGCAGAUGAGGUCUAUAAUGAAGAUUAGAUAUCAGUUCCCAGGAUCUGUGUGUUUUCUUUUGUUCCUGUUUGGGCACUCAGUCAUUUUUAGUGGCAAGGAGGCUAGUGAAUCUGUAUAGCUCCCAGAUUUUAUCUCUGAUUCUCUUUGGAGUAUCAGGACUGAAAGAAGCUAAGUCUCACUAUUUUGGGGAAAUUCUGGAAAGUCUGGUUUAGAUACCUGAAAAGACACUCUUUUCUGGUGCCUGAAUUUUCAGUUUGAAGUCCUAGGCUCAUACAUAUUUAGCAGGCAGAGAAUAGGGUUUGCAUUUACAUCAGGACAUCUUGUGCCAGACGUGCUAGUGGCCCAGGACAAUGCCUUGGUGUCAAGUUAAUCAGAAAAGCAAACAGCAGGUCUGUUGGCUAUCAGGUUGGCAACAAGUGUAGUAUCCUAGCCAAAGAGUUUGGAUUCAGAAUGGGAUAAACCAGUACAUUUAUCUUCUAUCCUUUAAAUAGUCCUUUGAUAAGAGGGAGCUCAGUGUAUCUGUUCAGGUGGGUUGUGUUAGACAGAUUUUAUCUUAGGUUUAUUGACAGCUGACUGACUUAUGAGAAUAGAUGCAGGAGGAUAUGUUCUUGCAUGUAUAGAAGGGCAUCAGGCUUCUAGGAUGAUGUGGGAGAUAAGACAUUCCAAAAAUAUAUUAAGCUAAGCGUGGUAGUAAACACUUAUAAUCCCAGGAAGGUCACAUGGUUGAGGCCAGCCUGAGAAAUUUAAGUGAGAUCUUUCUUAAAAUAAAAAAAUAAAAAUGUUGGGGAUAUAGCACAGUGGUAGAACAACUUGACCCUAACUCUCUUUCUCUCUCAAUCCUGAUUUAUAUAUUUUCAAUCCCCUUUUCAAUGAAGAAUAAUUACACAAUUUAAAACCACACCGAAUCCAUGAAAAUAUUUUAUAGACAAAAUGAAAAUGAUGAUUUCAUACUUUGGUGUCCAGCAAAUUACAAAAUAAUUGUUUUUUGUGUGUGACUAUCAUUUUGAAAAAUGAUGAUUCCUAAUACUGUCCAUUUACAAUCAGUAGAAACAUAGAAAUUUGUUCAUGCUUGUGAAUAGUAUAAAUGAUCAGAGACUCACGAUAUAUGUGGGUUGGCAACAGGCAUGGCAAUCAGCCCAGAUCCUGGUACCCAGAGGAUGCUCCACUUCCUUUUUGGAAAAGCUUGGAUGACUCCCUGUGUGCUGUGUUGAAGGCAGUUUAUCAAGCUAUAGCCUAGGUACAGGCCCAGCAAGUACAUUCCCUGCAAUCCUGGGAGAAGCUAUUUGAACUUGCCCAGUUCUGAGGGCCUGUGUGCCUCAUAGUAUGAUCUUCUAAAUCAAGACCACCCAGGCAGCCUUGUGUCUUCCCUGCUGAGGGCUGGUUUGUCAUAGCUGCUUUUGUCUACUCUCUAGUAUCUAUCCUUGAAUGAGGCAUUAUCUCUCAAAUGAGGCAAUGGGCCCACCCUAAUCUACAAGGAUGAUUUUAAACACAAUGCUAAUAAAUUGCAGAAUGUGAGGUGGUCUUAGGAGAGGAAUUUGAAGUAUAUACUCAAAUGUUACAUGCUAAAUUUAAUGUAGACAUUUGAUAUCUUUUGUAUGUCUGUGCAUAGUCAUGAAUUUCUUCAUGAUCAGGAAUGGAUUAAGGUAUAAUACUCAUGUGUUUGACAAAGAAUGAAUCUGCAGAAAGAGAGCUGAUGUUUGAAGACCAUGGGUGAAUGAAUUCUCGGGUCUUCCAGAUGUUUGUAAAUAGAUGAUGGCCAGGCAUUUUUUUGGAUGCUUGACCCGAAGAGGUGAUAUGUGACCUUCAGAGGGAGGUGGAGGAAAAUGCUUUGCACAAACCCAUCGUGCAUCAUAUUGGCUGGUCGACACAAUCAGGAUAACAAAUCAGGUACUUUCAAAAGACAUUGUGGAUAAAGCUGGAAGUCUGGAGGCCUUUGACUAUCUUUCCCAGUGUCCCAAUAUCAGUAAUAUUGAUACAUCUAAUCCAGCAUGUGACUAUUUUUAUGCUAAUACUUAUAUCAGGUAUGUGCCUACCAUAGUCUUAUUUUGCCACCAGAAACAUGGUUGUAUAUAUAAAUAGCAAGUACAUAUAGACAUGGAUGCAGAUAUAAAUAUAGAUUAAAAAUGGACUUUGUAAAAGCUGAAGGUUAGCAAUUUUGAAUUUGCAACCUUAGUAUUUACAGAAACUGAACACUAGGUGGCAGCCAGUUACCUUCACAUUGGAAACGGAUUCAAUUUUUGUCUUCUCUUUUUCUUAUAUGGGAAAUUUAAGUGUUUCUAUCCUUAUAUAAUGUUUAGUCAUCAACUAUUCUGACAAAAUGAACUAGGGCUGGGCUCAUCAACCAUAUUGAGUUUGCAUACAACUUCAUUUUGUUUUAUUUGUGGUGCUCAGGGCAGAAUCCAGGUCUUGAGUUAUACUAGACAACCACUCCACACUGAGCCACAUGCCCUCCCCCUUACAUGCAAUUUUCAAAAAGUAGAUUUAUCAUGCAGCUCCUUAAACUUUUAUUCUCUUGGUCUCCACAGAACUGUUCAGUAAUGAAGAGUAAUAAAUGAGUAAAUGAACCUUCACUUGGCUCCAAAAACAGGCCAAUCCCUAAUCCCAUUAUUGAUUAUAAUUACCUUGCCUAAAAUCACAACUCUGCAUUCAAAAUCUGAGGGAAAAAGUGCAUCAUUGUCAUUUACAUUUUUUAUUUUAUUGUUUUUACAGACUCACCAAGGUGAAUCUUUAUUUUAAAAGGGCCUAGGCUGCAGCGCAGUCGGGGCAGGCCACAUGAGGGAACCCCCCUAGAAUAAAACCUGGGAGGUGCUACUGACAUAGCAGCUCCAAGGCCCAUUUCAGUGAGGGUGAGGGCUGAAACUGAGGCAUCCUCUUCUGCAAGGCUUGCUGGGAAUGUUUGGUAUACAAAUAAGGGGUACAGAUCUAUCCAUUCCGGAUCAUAACCAUUCCGGCGCAUGCUUCCUUCUCAUAAAUGGAACAGUAUCUUCUGAAGUGACUGGGGUGGGGUAGGGUCACCAUGCUGCCUGACUGUCUGCACACAUGUUGGAGUGGAGAAUGGCAGCUUGACAGCCAGGGAAGACACUGACGCAAACUGUUCCAGUCCAUUAUGGUGCAAAGGGGUGCCAAAGGAAGCAAGGGGAGGGGCAGACAGCCCUGACAGGAUAAUAUGCUUAGUCUUGAUAUCAAUUAUCAGUCCUAUAUCUAGGGUAAUAUUAUUGUGUACCUCAGAGAUGGUCAGAUUUCCUCUUUGACCCUUACUGAGUGUGAACUCUCAUCAGGCCUUUAACUGUGGCCAUUUUGUUUUUGUUAUUCACAGACGACCAUGGCAUGGCUUUGAGUCUUUGAAAACAUAAGAAAUCAACUACAAUACAAAUUCUUUCUACUUCAGAGAAAUUUAUGAAAAUUACUGGAACAUACAAAUUUCAGAACAUAUGUUUCUGAUUAACUUUAUGUUUCUAACCAUUGUGCUGGGUAAAUAUUUCCAAACUGCAAGAGAUACUAGAUUCCUAAAACUUCAUCCAGUAGAGCCAGAAUUAACCCCAUGUAAGUGAACUGAUAAAGGGUUAUUAAUUUGGGGUAUAAUUUUUAAAAUUUUUAUUGGUACAUUUUGGGUAUACAAUAUAAUGACAUUCAUCAUUGGAAAUUUGUACCUUUUCAUAAUCUCUCUUGGUUCUUAUUUUUCCCCCUUCCCCUGCCCUCCCUUCAACCCCUCCAUCCCUCCCUAUUUACAAAGACUUUGUUUCCAUUUUUUCAUUUUCUCAUAUUAAUUCCAUUCCCUUCUUUCCUUUCCCCUACUCCUCCCACUUCCCCUUCCCCUUUGCCCCUUUUCUUCCUAUUUCACCUUAUCUAUUAUACCUUUUAGUCCUUAUUUACACUUUCAGUUUUUCACACCAGAGAAACUAUUCGGUAUUUACAUGUGUGUCCUGUUUAUUUUACUUAAGAGUAUCACCUCCACUCCACGUGCAUCUGUUUAGCUAUAAAUGUCUCUAAUUUCUCAUUCUUUAAGGCUGAGUAGUACUCCAUUUUAUAAAAGUUGCUCAUCAACUGGAUGGAGAAAUGUGGGUUUUUUAUAAAAUGGUAUAAAUUUUUUUUUAAAAAUUUGCUGAUUCUUCUGCUUGGCUUGCAAGAUUUAAGAAAAAAUUUCUUUUGGGUUACCUACACUUUAUAGCAAUUCAAGGCAUUUCUGACUCCAGCAUCCCUGAGGUGAGUAGUGAAAACCCGAGAUGCUAAGGCUCUCUUUCCCCUUAGGCUACUGAGACUCCUUCCUUACUCCCACUGCCGUGUGAUGCUCCAUGCCUGGGUGGUGGUGGUGGAGUCUAGUGAGAGACGCUGGUGCAGGGGCAACCACAUCCAUGUUGUUGCAGCGAAAGAGGAGCAGGUCAAAGCGGAUGAGGCUGGCAGUGGGGAUACAGGCACCCUCUCCUAUGGCCAGAGUGGGUGGCAGUACCUUCCUCUUCAUCCUGGUGGUGAUUACUAUAAUGCUCUGUUGGCUGAAGAGUCCCUUGAGAAGGGCUUGUGCUCCCCUACCAUGUAGAAGGUCCUCUACUUCACAUUAAAGCAAUAUGUCGCAGGAAAUAGAUAGCAAAUUCUAAUCCACACAUAGAACAGGGCAAGAAGCCUGAAGAUGACACACUUCUUCCUCAUGUGUAAGGGAGCAGAGCAAGCCUGGAGGGCUUCCUGGAGGUCUGAGUGAUGCUGGGCCUUGAGAGCUGGGCCAGACUGGGGCAGGUGAGUAUCAUAUAGCCAUAGUAGAAGUGAGCAUAGAGGAGUAGGGGCCUGAUUACUUGGGUUAUUUGGCAGUUCACACCUCCAUUCUCCCUCUCCUCCUCCCAGAUUAGCUGCUCCCUCUCACUAAUGCUGCCCCCCAUCUUCACCCAGCAUAAUGACUGUCUUGGAGGAUGGGUAGGGAGCAUUGGUGAUAGAACAAGGACAGCAGUCACAUUCCCCACAGCCUCCAGAGCCCUGGUGCCCUUGGGCAGCAGUCUCUGUGACCCCUCACUAUGGCCAGCAGCACAGCCCUGGCCUGUUUCCUUGGUGACUACUGGUACCUCAACACAACCCACUGGUGGUGACUCUCCUGGGGGAUGAGGGUUGGUGCUAAGGGAAUGGGGUUGUUUGUCCCCCAAAGCUGGUUCAUCCAUUUCAAAUCUGGAAGAUAUUCACGCUAGAAGACUCACCAUACUCCAGUACCUUUCCAAGUGCAAAAGACACCACAAGGCGAAGCUGGUCAUGUGCACACAAGACCUGUGCAAGUCCUUUACCUACUAGUACACUAAUUGCUGAGGGUGUGCGUUCUCCCAGGCUGAGAGCCAAGCUUCUGAUCCCAUAGUAGCUCCAGCUCCUGGAGUGAGUGGUGAGUGAGCCAUUAGCUGGCAUCCUUACAGACCCUUCCUGUAUAAGGUGGGGAGCAUGCAGUAGGUCAGUUGAGAGCCAUAUCAGCCUCCUGCCCCCAGGACAAGAUUCUAGAAGAAUCACUGUAUGCCUUCAGUGAGGAUCACCUUCACAUAGCUGGUGAAGGGCCUAGGUAGCAUCCUUAUCUUGAUGUCUAUGCAUAUGUGUCGUGGUCCUGGCUCUGACUUCCAUGUCACUGCCCUGUUUAUACCUGAGGUGGCUGUUUUAGCUUUGGGAGUGGGACAGAUCCUUCAGUGCAUAGCCUGAGUACAGCUGUGGAAGUAGAGGGUGGGAGAGCACAGAAUUGACCACCCCUGCUUCCUGCUGGCAGGAGUACGUGGACCAUUCAAUGCCCCUUGAGGAGUACUCUACAAGUUGCCAGGACACACUCAGCUCCUAUGACUGCUGCCCCUGGCCCUCCCCAAGAUUGGGGACCUUCAAUGCAAAAGGCCCCCACUAGUGUGAUACUAGACCCCAGCUUGUCCUGUUGAUGCUGGUAUGCUUUCGAUGGGGACCAAGACCCAUUGUGGAUGAGCAGGCAUGCAGGUAUAAUUUUAUAUCACAGUUAUGUGGGGAGCAACUCUCAGUCCCUUGGUUGCCUGUGCUACUGCAUGACCUCCUGACCAGUGCCAGGAGCGCCAAGGAGGGACUUUGUCCUGGACUGAACCAAAUGUGGAUGGUACCACACAGAGAGCUGCAGAGAAUAGGCCACUCUCUGGUGUCCAAGAUAGACCUCAGCCCCUCCACUGGCCAAAGCUCAGGAAAGACCCCAUGGGGCAAACCUGCCAAAGUGUCACUUUGUACCUGGAGGUGAAGUCACAGCUCCCCCACCUCCAGGGUUCCCUGUUCCCCCCCAUCAUGACUGAAAUUAUGGGCACCUGAAAGUAGGAUCCUUUAACUUUUAUUUAACAAGUUUAUUCCAGAAAUUAUUGUGUAUAAGUAGAUGCUAUGUAUCAGAUACAUUUGCAUACAUAUCUAUACCUAUAAAAAUAUCUACAGAGAAGAAGAAAAGGCUGGUACAGCUAAGACACAGGAGCCUGAGGGGACAGGAGGCUAGGUGCUGCCUUGGGAUAGGGAGGCCCCCAGUGAGGGACUUGCUGGUAAGACAGAUGUAAAACCAGAGGAGCAAUGGGUUUUUUUCUGGCACCACAGUUUUGUUUCAAAGUCUCUAACUGGCCUUGUGUAUUUGAGAGCUACUUCCUGGCCUCAUUUCAUCCCCGUAAUCAAAGCAUUUAUCCAGGGACAUGCCACAGUGUUUUAAAUUUUAUCUCAAUGACUGAGAAGUUUUUGAGGGAUUGCUGAAAAUAUUCAUCCAGCCAACACCCACAGGCCUUCAAGGUCCUUAGUGGUUUUAGAUGAUUCCAGUUAUAACAUUUUAUUUCUUUCCAGCUAGCUUUUUCAGAGAAACAUUAUGCACUCUGAAUUUUUCAGUACCAUAUUUCUUCUUUGGGACAGAAAAAACAGAGAAUACCUCAGAGGAAGGGGACAGGGACAAGCUAUGGUACCCAACAUUACACCUUCGAGACCCACUCAAACAUACCCAGAAGUGUGUUUUACUCAUCUGCUAGGCAUGUCUUAAUACAGUUAAAUUAAUCUCAAUUAACACUCACAAUUGUGUUGUACAUAAUCUCUCUGUUAACUGACCACAAAUUGGAUAUAUGUCCAGUAGUAAGAAAUUCUAGAUAAGUUUAGAAAAUAACAUACCUAAUGUUUCCCAUGCUUUAAUUCCUGCAAGGAACAUGAUGAGAAACAAAAAUGUCUUUAUAGGACGUUCAAAAUGGCAGAAUAGAUUCAGGUGCUGUGUUUCCCCGUUUGGAGUAAAAUGCAAUAGGGCUCAUUUUGGAAGGAUGUCUCUUCUAACAUCAUGCUAGAACUUGUUUUCCAGGUAAGUCAUAUUUUUGGGGAAAGAACAGUUAACAGCCUCUCCACAGCCUGAAAUCUAUUCAGUGAGAUAAAGAAAAGAACUCUGGGGAUCAAGAGAGAGGUAAAGCUACAACUCAUAAAUAAUAAGAAUGGCAACAUAGAGAAAAUAAUGAGUUAUAACAUCAACACUGGCUCCCAAGGUGGGGAGAGGAACCUGACUCUCCAACCACAAGGCAAUCCCAGAGAGGUCAGGAAGCUCCAGUGAUAAACAAUGAACCAGAAACAGGAUCUACAGAAAAAAACCUAUGAUUACAAUAAGCUGUAAAGCUGAUGAAGAAAUCUACAGUGAAAGUGACUCUUUGCACACAGCAGGCUAGCGUUAGAGAAGAAAUCCACUACAGUCCUUAAUGUAUUAUUUUGAAGUGGUGUAACUAGGAGCCAUGGUAAGGGGCUUACUUGAGACUGAGCAACCCUGAGGAUCAUAUAUCACCGAACAACCACACUUCGGGGUUCUUGGGGACACCCUGCCACUGUGACUGGGCAGGAGACAAACAGAAAAGACAGUCAUGGAAAGGGGGAGAAUUAGUUUCAGACUCCCUAAGAAGUUUAAGCAAUGUGGAGCUCCAUCUGUGUAGGGCUUGAUGGCUGGUAGCACUAUAUUAAAUGUUCUGAAGUGAAUUCAUUCCGGAGGAAUACAACACAUGAGUGGGAAAAGUGUGGCAGAACUCAGCAUUCACAUAGCAACAGCCUGUUUAUUGAGCUUGGAAACAAAACUUUGUUGCAGCUCAUUAUUCCUCAUUCAUCUCUGGUUGGUGAAAAGGAACUUUACCCAUCCACACAACUCAGUGUUGAGAAAAUUUGGGGACCAAUUUUCACUGUUUUUUCUGUUUUUACUCCUUUUUAUUUGUUUGUUAUUUUUUCUGUUACUUUUACAUGAUUUCAUUUAAUUUUAUUCUUUAAUGUGAGUUUUUGGUUUCACUUUUCUCCAACUGUUCCUUAUCUUCUUAAAAAAAAAAGCACAUCUUUCUCCUUCUUUCAUUUUUCCCCAUGCCCUGCCACUUUGUUAUCAUCAUCAUCAUCAUCAUUAUUAUUAUUAUUAAUCUUUACUAAUAUUUAGCUUUUUGUUUUCCCUUUAUCAUUUUUAGUUCUCUAUAUUAUGCCAUUUUGCUUUUCUUCUUUCAUUUCUAUUGUUGAUGAUGGAUUGGUUGUUGGUUUUAAUUUGUUUUUAUUUAAUUUCAGCAUCUGAUAUUUCUUCAUAUUGGCAUUAUUACUAUGGUUUGUUUUCUCCUCUCCUAGUUGUACUAGGAAUCAAGCCCUCAAGAAAGCUGAUCACAAAGAAGAAACUCACACAAAAGUGGGUAAUGCACAAAUAUCAAUAUAAAAAGAAGAAGGUGAUAAAAUAAGGCAACAUGACUCUUCCACAGGUGACUAAUUCAUAAGUAACAAUACAAAGAUAUCCAAAUGGAUAAAAAGGUGGACAAAAAUCAAAGAAUUAUUUUUAAAUGACCAAUAACUUUAAGGAGGGUUUAAAUAAACAGUUGAAUGAAUUAGGGAAGCUUAUGCAGGAGAUGGAGACACAAUUCAAUAAAAAGAUAGAGGUUCUAAAGAAGAGGAAAACAAAAAUCUUGGAAAUGAAAAGCUCACAAUCAAAUAAAAAACUAAAUGAGAUGCAAGCAAAGGACAGAAUUUCAGGGCUUAAGGAUAAAAGUGAUGAAUUAUCACAUCCAGAUACUAGUAAAGAAAAAAUAACAAGUUAUUAACAAAGCACCCAAAACCCUGGGACGUGGUUAAAAGACUGAAAUGAGGAAGGUGUUGAAGUUCACACUAAGUUCGUUGAACAGAAAAUCUAUUUCAAUGAAAUACUACAAAGUUCCCAAAUGUUGGAAAAGAUACUGACAUCCAUAUGUAGUAGGCAUUUAGAACCACAAAGAAGCAUGGCCAUAAAAUAAUUUCCACAAGUCACAUUAUUGUUAAAAUGCCAAGCAUAUAGAGCAGGUUAAGAAUAUUGAAAGGUGAAAGAGAGAAACUUAAAGUCACAUAUAGGGGCAGACCCAUUAGAAUAAUUGAAGACUUAUCUCCAGAAAGUAUAAAGGUCAGAAGAUCAUGAAAUGAUGUACUUCAAGCCUUGAAAGAAAGUAUCUACUAACAUAGAUUAUUAAAUUCAGCAGAUUUAUCUUUCAAGUUGAAGGAAAAAUAAAGAAUUUCCAUGAGAAUCAUAAACAAAAGAAAUUAAUGACCACUAAAACAUCAUUGCAGUAUAAACUUAAAGGAAUCCUACAUACUAAAGUGGAAAAGACAUCAGCUAUUGAGAAGAACGUCAAGCACUACAAUAAUAUAAUGAAAUAACUACUGCAUAUCUUUCAAUAAUAACUCUGAAUCUAAAUGGCCUUAUUUCUCCUAAAAGAAGUGGACUUGCAGCCUGGAUUAAAAGCAAGACUCAACUCUUUUUUGCCUUCAAGAAACACACCUCACUAAGAAAGAUAUGUAAAGUAAAAUCAAAAGGAAAGAAAACAAAGUUUUAUGAAAAUGGAAUCUGAAAAUAAGAGGAGUAGUUUUACUCAUAUAAAACAAAGGAGAAUUUAAGACAAAAUUAUUUAGAAGAGAAAAAGAAGGCCACAAUAUAUUGGUAAAAAAAUAAUCCACCGAGAAAAAUAGAAAACAUAUACACAUUGCAUAUUGGUGCAUCCAACUUAGUAAAUCAAAAUAUUUGAUGGAAAGGGACACAGCACCCAAUACAAUAAUAGUGGGUGACUAUAAAACUCAACUCUUGACAAGACAGGUCAACCAGACAAAAAACUAGCAAAGAAUCAUGAAUUGAACUGCACCUUAGACUGAACAGGAAUAUAAGGAAUAUUUCAUCCAACAACUAGAGAAAACACAAUUUUUAUAGGCACAUGAGUUGUUCCCCAAAAGACACCAUAUUUUAGUGUAUAGAGAAACUGUUAACAAAUCUAAAAUGUUUUAAAAAUUCUUAUAUCUUAUCCUAUCAUGAUAGAAUGAAACUGGAAAUUAACAGCAAGAGAAGCUACAGGAAUUGCACAAACACAUGGAGAUUGAAGGGUCUCUAUUUUUGAACAAUCAGUUGGUCAUUGAAGAAAUCAAUGGAGAAGUUUAAAAAUGCCUAGAAUCAAAUGACAAUGCAACCAAAUAACAAAUACAACCAGCAAUAACAAAAUAACAGUACAACCAACAAGAAUCUCUAGGCUAUAAAGGGAAUAAAAGGGAAAUUUCUACCUUUGAAUGGCUACAUCAAAUAAUCAGAAAGAUCUGAAAUAACUUAAUGAUGCAUCCCAAGGUCUUGGAAAGAAAGAACUAUCCAAAAUCAACCCCAACAAAAGGAAAAAAUUAGUAAAGUCAGGGAUAAAGUUGAUAUAAUGAAUACAAAAUGAACAGUACAAAGGAUAAAUGAGACAAAGUUACUUCUUUAAAAAGAUAAACAAUAUUCAAAAUCCUUUAUUUAAACUAACCAAUUAAAAGAAAAGACCAAAUCAAUACAAUCAAAUAAGAACAGGGGGAUUUAAAAAAAAAACACCACUGAAAAUCAGAGAAUCAAUAGGGAUAAUUUUGAAAAUUUAUGGAGAAUCUAGAAGAAUGAGGUAAAUUUCCACACAUAUACAAUCUACCAAAAUUAAAAUAAGAAUAUAUAAAACACUUAAACAGGUCAAUAGCAAGUCAGAAGGUUGAAGAAGUAAUAAAAAGUCUCCAAUAAAGAAUCUUAAGACCAGGCAAAUUCAGUGCUGAAUUUUAUCACACUUUUAAAGAAAUAUUACCACCAAUGCUUCCCAAAUCAUUUUAUAAAAUAUAAAGAGAAGGAAUGCUUCCAAACUCAUUCUAUAAGGCCAAUGUCACCAAGACCAGAAAAAGACACAAGAAAAAACAAUAUUAGUGAUUAAAUGUAGAUGUAAAAAGCCUUAAUAGAUUACUUGUAAACAGAAUUCAGCAAUCCAUUAAAAAGAUCUACUUGGUCUAUUUUCAGAGAUUCAAGAAUAGUUCAACAUAUGCAAAUUAAUAAAUGUUUUGCAUAACAUAAAGAGAAUCAAGGAUAAAAAUCACAUGAUCAUUUUUUUGAGGCAGAAAAAACUUCAACAAAGUUCAAUAUCCCUUCAAUGACAAAAGCCCUGAAAAUCUAGAUCUUGAAGCAGUAUACCUUAAUAUGGUAAAGGUUAUACAAAAAAUGUACAAGCAUCAUACUGUAUGUAUAAAACUGACAGCAUUUUCUCUAAAAUCAGUAAUGAGACACAAAUGUCCACUGUCUCCCCUCUUAUUCAAUGUAUUACUUGAAAUUUUAGUCAUAUCAGUUAGGCAAGAAAAAGAAAUAAAAUGGGCACGAAUAGGAGAGGAAUGAGGCAAAUUAUCUUUAGUUGCUGAUAAUACGAUUCUAUACUUAAAAGAUACUAAAUACUCCAUCAAAAGAAUUUCCAAACUGAUAAAUUCAGGAAAGUAGUAGGAUAUAGAAUCAAUAAUAGAAGAUAGAUUGCUUUUGUGUACACCAAUAAUAAACACAUUGAGAAAAUAAUCAGUAAAUACAAUUCCAUUCACAAAUGCUUCACAAAACACCUACAAAUCAACCUAACUACAAAGAUGAGAGACAUCUGCAAUAAAAAUUUAAGAAUUCAGAAUAAAAGAAUUGAAAAGAACACUGGAUGAUGGAAAGAUCUCCCAUAUCCAUGAAUCAGAAGAAUUAAUAUUAACAUGGCCAUAUCAGAAACAAUGAUCUACAGAAUCAAUGUAGUUCACAUCAGAAUUCUGAUGGCAUCCUUCACAGAACAACAAAAAUCCCAAAAUUCAGUAAAAACACAAAAGACCCAAAAUAGCCAAAUAAAUCAUAAACAAAAAAGAGAAAAGUUGGAGGCAUCACAAUUUCUGAUUUCAAAUUAUACUUCAAAGUCAUACUAACAAAACAUCAUGGUACUUGAACCAAAAAACGACAUGUACAUUAAUGGAAUAGAAUAGAGGAUACAGAAACAAACUCAUGCAACUACAGCCAUCUGAUUCUUGACAUGAGUCAACAUCAUACUCUGCCUCUUUAGCAAAUUCUCCUGGGAAAACUGGACAUUCACAAGGCAAGACUGAAACUAGGUCUGCAUCUAAAUGUAUCAAAGACCUAAGUAGAAGACCUGAAACUUUCAAGUUGCUAAAGAAAAUAUAGGAGAACUUCUUGAAGUCCUAGGCACAGGCAAAAAUGUCCUGAAUAGGACUUCAACAGCACAGAAAAUAUGAUCAAGAAUCAACAAAUGAGACUACAUCAAGUUUAUGGUUCUACACAGCAAAAGAAACAGUCAACAGAGUGAAGAGACAUUUUACAGAAUAGGAGAAAAUCUUGGCCAGCUAUUCUUUUGACAGAUGAUAAAUAUCUACAAUGUAUAAGGAACUAAAGAGUUUAACAUAAAAGGAAGAAAAAGGAAAGGAGAAGGAAAAGGAAGAGGAGGAAGAAAAGAGGGAGGGGAAAUAGCUUGAUAAAUAAAUGAAUUAAAAGUCACUUCUCAGAAGAAGCACAAAUGGACAAUGAGUAUAUAAAAAUUUGUUGAACAUUUUUAGCCAUUAGUCAAAUGCAAAACAAAAAAUUACAUUGGAAUUCCAUCUCACCCAAGUUAGAAUGGUUAUCCUCAAGAGUACAAAAAACAAUAAAUACUGAAAGGAUAUGGAGGGAAAGAGCUCUUCUAAUAUGCUGAUGGGAAUGUAAAUUAGUCAAACCACUAUGGGAAAUCAAUGUGCUCCUAAAAGAAUAUAACUAACAUAUGACUACAUUCUUUGGUACAUAUCUGAAAGUGUUAAAAAGUCAGCAUAUUAUAAAGAUACUUACAUACCCAUAUUUAUUGAAGCACAAUUCACAAUAGCCAAGACAAGGAACCAGCCUAGAUUUCCAUUAAUGGGUGAAUGGAAAAAGAAAGUGUGAUAUGUACACACAAAGGAGUACUGUUCAACUGUGGUGAAGAACAUAUUAUGUUAUUUUCAGGAAAAUGAAUAGAAACAGAGAUAAUCAUAUCAAAUGAAAUAAGCCAGACGCAGAAAUACAAGUGUCGUAUUUUCCCUAACAUAUGAAUCUAAAAUAAAAAUGGCAUGAAAGUAGAAGUGAGAUUAUUAGACAAGGGGAAGGGAAUAAAGCAAAGUUUGGAAGACAUAAGGAAGUUAAUAGAGGAGAUGGAUAUUAUCAAAAUGUGUUAGAUCCGUGAAUGAAAACACCACAUCAAAACCUAAUAUGUGUAAAAUUAAUAGAUACUAAUAAAAUAUAUUUUAAUACUGGAAAAAACUAAUAUCUAGAAUAUAUAAAAAAUUCAAAGAUUAGCCCCCCACCAAAACAACCCAUUCAAACUAUGGACAAGUAAAAUGAAUAGACACUUCUCAAAAGAGGAAAUACGAAUGGCCAAUACUUACAUGGAAAAAUGUUCAGCACCUUUGGCCAUUAAAGAAAUGCAAAUGAAAACAACCCUGAGAUUCUAUCUUACUCAAGUCAGAAUGGCUAUCAUCAAGAACAUAAAAACCAACAAAUAUUGACAAAGAUGUGAGAAAAAAGGAUACUGUUGGUGGGAAUGCAUUCUUAAAAAAAAAAAAAAACCAACCCUAGACCUAAAAGUAUUAUUCCAUUUGACCCAGGUAUACCUCUCCUGGGUGUAUUCCCAAAAGCGUUAAAGUCAUUGUACUUAUAUAUAGAGAUACCUAUGUAUCUAUGUUUAUAGAAGUUCAAUUCACAAUAUAGCUAAACUAUGGAAAUAGCCUGGAUUUCUUAUAAACACACAAGUGAAUAAAGAAAAUGUAGUAUAUAUAUGUGGAGCUUCUCAUCACACUCAGUGGGUUAAUGUUUGCUCGGGUUGACGGGGGGUGGGGUGGGGGGAUGGGUGCUACUAACUCCAAAGAGCCAGAACAUCUUGAAGUUGGGAUGUUUUCCCAACUCCAGCAGAAAUGGGCCUUGUAGGGAAAACAAGGAAGCUCCCUUGGGGACAAUCAGAUAAAAGUUAAUAAUUCACCCAAAUGGUCACUAUGCCUUGCUAACCUAAAACAAACCUCUGCACUGAGCAGAAGGCUAUGCCUUUGUUGUUCCUCGAUCAAUCUGGACCUUGAGUCAAUUUGGGGCUUCAUUUCAGUGAAGUUCCCUGACCCUCCAUAAAGAUAUUCUCUGUCUCUCAUGUGUUUCAUUUGUCUCUCUGUCAGAGUUUGCUGCCCUGAACCUGGCAUAUAUACAAAAUGGAAUUUUACUCAGCCAUAAAGAAAAAUGAAUUCAUGUCAUUUGUUGGAAAGUGGAUGGAAUUUGAAAUUAUAUUAAGUGAAAUAAAUCAGACAUAGAAGGUUAACUAUCACAUGGCUUCUCUUCUAUGAGAAACUCUAACUCUAAGAGUGAAAUAAAGGAGAGAUGGUAGGCAGCUUGGAGGCAGACUCCUUGGAGAUGGGAAAAGGGAUUCGAGGAAAGGAGAAAUGCAAGGAGAAAGGAAAAGGGAAUCAAAACUGAUCAAGAAAUUCCCCCAAACAAAUGUUAAUUAUUAUGUAUCACAGGCAUAUCCAAAUAAAACUAUGUGUAUUUAAAUGGGGAAUAUUGUGAAUUACUGGAGUCUUAAGAGUCUUGAUCUGCUUUGUGUUUUGAACCCCUGUCAGUAUAGGGCCAACAGAGGGCAUUCUGAAUGACAGAUCUUUAGGAAACACUGUUUUCACACAUUUUCAAUACCCCUCCACAUACUGUCCAUAAAAGGUAAAUUUGAAGAAUUUUAAGAAAUCUUUAAAAUGCAAUAUUGGACACUUAAGUAACCUAAAAUUUCCCAUGGAGGCACACACUAUGGACAAUGAACCUUUUAAGAAUAAUAUUCAAAUUCAUUAUUCUUACAUUCUUCUCUACAGUGUUCUUAAUGGAACAUUGUAGAAUAUUUGUAAGAAACUUUAUAUACUGAUUUGGAAAUUGAAGUAAACUUAAGGGUGUAAGGCUGGCAUUAAGUUUCAUUCCACUGAAAAACUAUGGAUGAUGAAUUUUUUUCAGUACCAGGGAUUGAACUCUGAACCUUGAGCUUGCGAGGCAGGUGGCUGAACCACUGAGCUAAAUCCCAAUGAUUAAUUUUUUUAAGAACCAUGAUCUGAUCCAUAUUUUCCAUUCCCUUAUGCAUAGUGCCCAUAAAGUUCCUAUGUCCAUAGUAAUGAGAAACCUUUGCUAAGAAGUUAGAAACUGACAUAAUCUAAAGUUUCUCAAGGUAACAUGGCUGAAAUUCAUAGAAAUUACACUGUGGAUGAUGGAUACUAAGAAUCAUGUUGUGAUACAUUAUUUCUACACACUUCUGUUAUAGUGCCUAUGAAGGGUAAAUCAUGCAGUAUAAGAAACAGUUGCAUGCCAUGCUACUUUUGGAGAAGAAAUACACUUCAGGACCUACUUUAUCCUGGCAUAUUAUAAUCAGGAGCUAUCUUGAGAGGGACCUGAUUGUUUGAAACUUAGUCACUCUAGGAAUCAGAAGUCACAGAACAAGAACAGUUUAGGUUUCAUGGGGAUACUCUGCCAUCAAGACUGUAGGGGAGACAGCCACAAGUGACAGUCAACAGUCUUGGUGAGAAGGAAAUUUAAUCACAAAUCUGAGAAAUCUCAGAAGCAGGGAGCUCAGGCUGGGGAAUGUUUGGUGGGUGGCAGCAUCAUCUUUGUGCUGAAGAGUCAGAGGCCCAUUGCCUGUGGUUUGGUGAAGGGGCUUAGCUUGAAAGUGGCAGGAUUGACUGUAGCUUGCUUGGUUCCAGUGACAUUUCCCUUCACCAGAAAAUGCAGUGGCAUUUGCUUUUCCCACUCUCUGAUUACUUGGUAUGGUCCUGGGUUUACAAAUCUCAGGAGAGCUCUGGAGCAAGUAGGACAGCUAACCAACCUACAUUCCUCAAGACAGUUGGGAAUAGCAGUGGCUCCAGAUGCACAUAACGAAACAAAUAAACAACAAAAAGCCCCUGGGGUGAAUACAGCCCUAAGAUAGACAAGGUAGCGUUGAAUAGCCUCCCUCAGCAGGCAGUGUAGCACCAGCUUGUUAAGUGGGAGUGGAGAAAAAUUACAACGGCCCCAAGUGUGACUCACUAGUUCUCCGCAAUACGUGGUACAUUCAGGUACUGGGAAGUAACAAUCCAAAUACCUUGGGGGUUUUUUGGACUAAUUUUCUUUUCUGUUUGUUGUUUCCCACUAUAGCUUUUAUCUAAUUUUAUUGUUUUUAUUCUUUAAUUGGACUUUUUUCAAAGGCAGUAUCUAUUGGAAACAGCAAUCCUUGCUGCAGUGAGUUUAUAUACAUUAAGGAGUAAGUUUACCUUUUAUUCCACAUGAUCCAUGAGCACACGUGGCACAUUGGAACAGCACAUUAAACCUCACAGAGUCUAUACAGCUAGAUAAAUAAAACUCUGGAUACAAAAUAGGACUUUUAUGACAUAGAAAACAAUGCUGUACACACAAAAUGAAGGUGGGACAGAAAGAACAAAUGAAAAUUUAACAACUAAACUGAGAAGUUCUGCAUCAUACCUUAAACUUCAAAGCACAGAAAUCAUCUACAUUUGGUCCACAUUGAAGGCAGAAUAUGCACAAAAUGAUAUUCAAGGAAGAUUGGAUUUUUAAUCUCCACUCUUUUUGCCUUCUCUUUAUCGUCUCAUGUUUGUUUUCCUUUAUAAAAUCUUGUUUAAUCUUUACAACCAGCUCUAUAGAAGCAGGCUACAGCCUUGAGGGGAAAAUUUUUUGGCAGCUCCAAAUCUAUACUGCUGUUGUAUCAGUCUAUCAGAGUCCUAGCCCAGCACCUCAACACUACCACUUUCACCAUGGCCUAUUUGAGACUCCCAGAAAUUAUGUCAUAGGCACAAAGUAUCAAUAUCAUACUGUUACAGGAAGUAAUACUGGAGAUGAAAUGUGAAAUAUUAUAUCUCCCAACCUGCUCACUGUACAGUAUGCUUAGGUCUUCUCUAGAAAUCAAAGAAUGAGUCCUAGAAACAACUGAGGUGAAGAGUAGGAAGAUACUUAUUGAUAGGAAAGGUCCUGAGGGGCAGGAGAGGAUCCAAGUGGGGAGUGGGUAGCCGGGGGACCCACUUUGCAAAGGAGUUUUCUAGGGUGAAACCCAGGUGGGUACAAUGUGGGCCACACCCAUGAACAUCCAAUCAGGUCACAAAUAUAGUCACUGAGAUAAUAGUGGUCCAGUUGAGAAGCAAGUUAUGUAACAAGCAUGGAUGGAAAGAACAAUGAUUUUCUGGUCACCCAUGGGGGUGGCUGAUGUCUAUCUAGACUUCAUUAGGCCCAGUGUUUGUUGUUUGAGGAAGUAUGUAGGUCUGAUCAUCUUGUCUUUAUCUUGAGGCCCAGUUUCCAAUGGCUGCAGCUGUGGUGUGUUUCACCUCUGUCCUAAUUCCUUCAAGGACCUAGCCCUAUCUGACUGCUUAUAAUAUUUCUACCUAGCUAAUCUAUCUAUACUAAUACCCCCCAAAAGGGGGAUCAUUAUGUCAAAAUGUGUGUCUAAGGAGGAAAAUAAAAGGUGCAUUAUUCUAGCUAAAUAUAGAAUCGAAAGAAGUUGAAGUCAUAGAUGUGGAGAGUAGCAAGGGAGGUGGUUAUUAGGGGCUUUAAUCAUGAUUGUCAGCUAGACUGGUUUUUGAGAUGCCUGAGGGAUUAGUAAAGCACCCUUCUGAAUGUACCUUGGGAAAUCAUGGUGGCAUUAUCUUGGGGGCUGUAUUUAUUUGGCCAUUUUUCUUGGGUGCUUUUCCCCUAUGCUCUGCUUCUUGUCUGCCAUGAAGUGAGCAGCUUUGCUCCGAUAUAUCCCUCUGUCAUGAUGUUUCUGCCUUGUGGCCAGCCAAGCAUGGACCGAAUCCUUGGAAACUGUGCAUCAAAAUAAUCCACUCCUCCUUUAGUUAGAGAUGUUAGAUAUUUUGUCUCCGUCAUGGAAAAACUGAUCAAUGCAGAAUAUUGGAACCAAAAGUGAGGUCAUUGCUUUGACUCCACAAUAGCAGAGUAUGGAUUUGGAGCUGCCAAAUAAUUUCCCUGUCAAGGCUGUGGUCUGCUUCUAUAGAGGUGGUUUCAAGCCUCCUGAUCAUUAAACAGCUGGAGGACAAGCUUCCUUCUGAGGAAAGUCAGAAAAGUGAAUCUUAGUGGGGCAGAAAUGCAUCUCUGUUCUUGGAUCCUUGUGGUGAACUUUCCACUGGGCACCUUCAUCCAGCUCAGUACCUGGCCAGCCCAGCUCUCUUGAUAACUGCUAAAUUCCCAUCAAAAUGAAGUGACAGUGGGUUUUGAUUUCUUUAUUUCUCAUGCACUGGGACUGGCAAUCAUAAAAGUUCUCAUUCACAGAAAUCAGCCACAUUCUGUAGUGCAUUAUCAUGAGGGUAAAUCCUCUAAAGUGAUAAAAUUUGCAUUGGGUAUGUUUACUUGGCAGUUGUGAGGACACAUUUGUCAUCAGCACCCAGCAGUAACAGAGAGGUAGUGUUUUUUCAUUCUAGCCACAUGAGCCCCAAAUGUUUUUCAGUUUGGUGGAAUCACUUUUUUAACUUAAGUACAUUGAAAUGGAGAUCCCAAGAACCCACACUCCCUAUUUGGCCCUGGGCUGCCUCUUUAGAAUAUUAGUCACCAAAAUUGAUGGCAGAUCUAUAAUUGGCACAGCAGAUUAUGUCUGGGUUCUGCUAUAUUUAUUCAGUAAGUGUUCCAUAAAAUCACAUUAUAUAAUCAAAACAUGAUCUUAAUAAAUCAUGGUGCAUGAAAUCUACCAUCAGUAUUGGGAAGUCAUUUCUGAAGGAAGGAGUUUGCCGAUUUCCCAAAAUUGGGCCUUGCUUGGCACCAUCCAGGGCUGCUCUUCAGUCCCUGGAGUGGCUGAGAGCUGUUCAGGCACACAGUUUGGCCCAGGGUAUUCUGGGAUUGACUUGAGUUGGGAAAUAUUCUUUUAAUAUCCUUUGUUGUCAAGCUCUCGACCCUGCUCCAAAAUAUAUCCAUUCUUCCCAACUUCCUUUCCCCAUUGCUCAUGCUUUUAUUCAAAUAUAGAACCCAAUUAUUGCAGUAGCUUCUUCACUAAUCACACUUCAAGAUAUUUUAUUUGCUCUAACUUAUCAUACACUCAUGAUGCUGCACGUUACACCUCCCCAGAUCUUCCCUAAUCAUUCGCUAGUCCAAACACCUUCUGUCAAUGAAACCUAACACACACUCUUUUCCACUUUCUUGUAUCCAUCAUAUCAGUCUGUGGGGACAAGUCAGAGCUCUCCCUUGUCCUCUGCCUAUGUGUUAAAUUUAGCUAACUGAGAAGCUUGAAGAAUCCAGUAAGAAAGAGUGACAGGAGAUAAUGAGAACAGAAUAUUCAUUUUCCUGUUGCUUUUCUUUGGCUCAUCACAGGCCAGUUGUAUUCUGCAACAAAGAUCACAGCUCCUUUAAAGGAUUCUGGGAAGGUGAGGCAAGAGAAUUGCAAUUUUGAGUCUGCCUGAGCAACUUGGUUACUUAGACACUGUGUUAAAAAUUAAAAAAUAAAUAAAGGGCUGGGGAUGUAGCUCAGUGCAUAAACUUUGUGUUCAAUCCCCAAUCUGAGAGAGAGAGAGAGAGAGACAGAGAGACAGAGAGAGAGGAGGAGGAGGAGGAGGAGAAGGAGAAGGAGGAGAAGGAGAAGGAGAAGAAGAGAAGAAGAAGGAGAAGAAGAGAAGAAAAGAAAAGAAAAGAAUGAGACCUCAUGGCCUUCUUUCCAUGAUAUUCUCCUUCUGGUUCUAGAAAUAACUCCCUCUUAAAUCCCUUUGGGACCAAGUGUGACACAACACACAGAUUACAGCACUAUUCAUGGAACUGCUGAACAUACCCUUAUUAAUAGGCCUUCAAUAACUCAACAUCUUUUCAUUCUAAUUAUAUUUUAUCAUUCCCUGGCCAUCUCUCAACUGAAACACUUUUCUAUAACCAUUCAGGGCUUCACUUUAUAAGACAGAAUUUCAUUCACCAUUCUUACCAAUACGUAUCAUUUUCACAGUUUACUCUCUGCAACAUCGUUUGAUAUUCUUCUUUAAUAUCUACUCCUUUCUACAUUAGGGUAAAUAUGUUUUAUGUAUGUUUUAAAAAGAAAUUCUGUAACUAUCAUAAACAAAAAACUAGCUUCAUUAUCCAUAAAUAAAAUAUAACUAGAAGCAUAAAUAUAAAACACACAAAGCUGUGUUAGUGAGUUUUUUGUUUUGUUGCACUGAGCUUUAAAUCUGAGAACUCUACCCCUGCUUGGUUGAAAAACAAAAAGGAGAUAUUAUUAAAUAUUAAAACAGUAUUAAAAGCAUCCUCCUUGGUAUAAUGAAAGGCAGGCAGUGAAUCAUAAAACAAGAAAGUUACCUGUUUUUCAUUUCUGUGCUCUCUUCUGAUGUGUUUGUAACUUUGCAAAAGUUGUAUCACAUCCCACUAGUGAUCUGCUCUUCAUGCUCAGAGACACUGCCUCGCCGGAUAAAAUAUAGUUCAUCAGGUAUUGAGUGUUCUUCUCUGAGGAAGGCAAGACUAGUAAAGGCAUUGGAAGUCCUGCUCUGACUGCAGCCACUUUUUCCACCUUCCUCUUCUGCCAACCCUCUGGGCAUCCUAUUUCAGCUGAAUUAAAUUAAAUGACAGUCUCCAUAUCUUCCUUUUGCUUUCAUGAUUCUUAUCUGCCCACAAUGAUGUUCUACUACUACUUAUCCUAUGAGGCCCUCCUAGGCAUCACCUUCUCCACCCAGCUUCCUUUGCUCAUGAUCUGCCUGUCCUGUGCUCACAAAUCUGUUGGUCAUCCCACCAUCCUGCAGUGUAAGUCCUCCUGCUAUGGCCUGGAACUUCUCUUUGCUUACAUCUCUCUCUUACUAUGCCAUGAUCCUAUAGCCCAGUGUAAAAACAAUAAGGACAGUUUAAAAUUGAGUAAAUUGAAACACUCACUCACUAGUAAAUUCUGCCUUACUCAGUGUACAGAAUUAACAACUUAGAUCUCUGCCUGAGUUUUCCAGCACAAUCAACUUCUGAGAUCCUUCUCUGCCCUUCAAAACUUGUAGAAUGCUCUAGUUUAUAUUUUGGCAAGUGUCCUGUUAUUAUUUAAAGGAAAACCAGGCAAAAAGAAAAACCAAUGAAUAAAGCCUGAAGAAGGAACUACUAUAGCUGAGAUUUAUUUUUAUAGCAAUGAUGUUCCAUAUAAAUGUAAUUAUUGCACAUUUUCUUCAGCUUUGGGCCUCAGGACUGCCACCAAUUCAUGAAAAACUUACCACUCACAAAUCUACUAUGUGUAGUGGACUCUGGAUAUUUGUCUGGGCUCAGCCCCUUAAUAAUUAUAUGAUCCUGCUCUAUUUUUUUGGCUUUGCUGUCCUCUGCCUCCAUGAAUUGUUACCUUUGCCACCUUGUGUGCACCAUGUUGUUUCUGCUCUGCCAUGUCUGUUUGUCACCCCUGCCUUGGAGUCGGCUGAUUAUAGACUGAAACCUCUCCAAACUGUAAGCCAAAUAAACCCUUUCUCUUCUAACUUUGGUCUUGGGUAUUUUGUCUCACCAAUGAGAGAAAGUAAUUAACACAGAAAUUUGGUACCAGGGAAGUGGGGUCAUUGCUGUGACAUUACCUGACCAUGUGGCUCAGAAGUCUUUAGAACUGCCUUGUGAGAAGGGAAAGAGGAAAGAUCCGGAGAUGCUGGUUACAGAAGUAGCAUUGGAAUGCCUUAGGCUGUUUUGUAUGGGAGAUUCUAGUUAGAGCUCAGAAGACCAGAAAUAUGGUAAAGACCAGGCUCAGGAGAUUUCUGCCAGGAAAAAGGACUACAUUUUGGGUUGGACUCCUGAUGAUGUGCGUUAUGGCUUGGAAGAAAGUUUGUCUGCAUUUUGUUCUUCUCUAGAGACUUUGCCUAAGACUGAGAUUAGGGGCGGUGGACUAAUUAAUCUUGCAGAAGAAAUUUCAAGGCAGUUGAAUAUUGAGUCAGUGGCAUGGCUACUUUUGAGAGCUUUUAGCCAGAUCUAUGUUGAGAAUCAAGAGCAUAAAGUCCAGAAGAAUGAUUUAAAAUAUUUUGAGUUUGUCGAGGAAGGAAGUUCCAUUAAAGCUAUGAACUCCAAAGAUAGAGCAGAGGAGAUCUUGCUUUAUGAGAAGGAGCAGGAGAAUAGAAAAGAUGGCCUAAGAGGAUCACAGGAAGCAGAAGGAUUGCAUUCUUUGCAGCUUCAGAGUUGUAAAGGUAAAAAAUUUUGCUGGGAGAAGAAAGCCCCAGAGCACCAUGUUCCAGAAUGGUGGUAGCCUAGGGAAGUUGCUCCAAAAUGGCGGCUUAGGGAAGUUGUUCCUCAGGAGUUGAUUCAUAGGCUUUGGACCCCUACAGCCAAGAGAGAGGAAAGACUGGCUACUACUGCUCCAGCUGGCAGCAGACCUUGGCAUCAUCGAUGUGGCACUAGUUUUAGGCGCAAGUAGAAUGCAAGAGUUGUGGGGUGAGGAAGGCUUCCACCCAGAUUUCAGAAGAAGGCCUGGAAGGCCAAGCAGUGUGCUCCUGAGAGCACAAUAUGUGAAACUGUGAGUGUGAACCCAAAGGUGCAUUGGAGACCCCAGAAAUUUGGAGAAACCAGGAGCAUGGAUCAUCUGAGGAAAGCUACAAGGAGGGAGCAGAGCCAGUCCAAGAAAGAAGCUGUAAGAGCUACAACCACCGAAAGUGCCAUAGGGGCAGAGCCACCAAAACCCUUUGGAGUUCACAACUUGCCAGAUUGCCUCAGAUGCUGGAAGUGGAACUGUAAUGCCUGCCCUGCUGGAUUUUGGACUUACUUUGGUCCUAUGCCUUUGUACCUUCCUAUUUGCACCUUUUGGAAUAGAAAUGUCUAUCCUGUGCCAUUGGAUGUUGGAUGUGUUUGACUUCUCAUUUCUACAGGGGUGUGCAGCUAAGAGUUUGCCUUAAAACUCAUGGGAGACUUUGGAUUUGGACUUUUCAGCAGUGCUGAAACUAUUAGGACUUUGGCAACUCUCAGAGACGGACUUUUGUGUAAAGGAAUGUACAUGAAUCUUUGAGGGGCUAGGGGAGGAAUGUUAUGGUUUGGGUCUAAAUGUUCUCCCAAAGCCUCAUGUAGUCAUAGGCUUAAUCUAGAGUGUGUGAAGCUGGAACUGAUUUAUGGUGCAGUGCUAGGCUCAAGGGCACUAGGAUUAAGGGUGUGAAUGCUGCCCUCCCUAAGUAGUCUGAGUAAGGUAAAAGGGGCAGGGAGACACUGUUAAACUCUUUUGUUUUGCUUUUGCUGACUUCCACUGCCAUGAACUGAAGCUUGUUCUUGUCACCUUUGCCACCUUGUGCACGCCAUGCUGUUUCUGCUCUGUCAUGCCUGUUUGUCAUCCCUGCCUUGGAGUUGGCCGAUUAUGGACUAAAACCUCUACAAAGCAAAUAAUCCCCUUCCCUUCUAAAAACAAAAAUAAUAAUAAUUAUAUGAUCCUUAGAAAGUUCCUUAAAAUCUGGAUCUCAAUUUUUUUCAAUUAGAAAAUGGGCUUAAUAAAAGCAUCUAUGUGUUUAGAGCAGUGUCUGGCCCAUGGUAUGCAUUUUUUGUUGGCUAUUAUCAAUUUAAAAAGGAGGAGGAAUAGAAAGCAAAGAAAGAAGGUCCAACAAGUACCCAUGUCUCCAAAGCUUCCCUUGGUCAGUUUAUGUCUACCCAGAAGAAGACUCCUAACCUGUCAGGGUUUAUCUCCUAAAAAAACAGAGAACCCCUGAGGACCCUAUAAAUCCGUGGAGGUUAGAUGACACAGCAGUUUGGGAACAUCACCUGUAGACGUCAGUCUCCUUUGUUAUAGGUCAAAUCAAGGGAGGCAAAAAAGUAGUUUUGGGAGCAAACAACCCCAGAUGAGUACAACUUUAUGUGAUGAUGUAAAUGGAGCAGUUCCUCUGACUGCAUCUCAAAUGAAGCACAGCAACAUACUCACCUUGCCUCUGGGGAAAGGAUCAUUCUUCAGGAAUCAAAGGCUCUCCUUUCUGACAUCACUGGGGUAAAUUAAAGGGAUCAGUGGGCACCUUAAUAUGUUAAUCUGGUAACCUAAGAAUUCUUUCAACUGUGUGUCAUCCACUCUUCUCAUUUUGUUUCAGCAUCUGCACAUUAUUAAACCUGUUGCAUCCUGAUUAGAUCUUUGUGUAGGUGUAUGUGUGUUGCUAUGGAAAGGCACACAGAUACUGGUUAAUAUUGAAAAAAAAAGGUAUAGAAUAGCGUGUUCUAAAUUAUCCUGUUAAAUGGAUGCACGUUGAGGCAAUACUCUUAAGUGAAAUAAAUAGGACACACACGUGUAAAUACCGAAUAGUUUCUCUAGUGUGAGAAACUGAAAGUGUAAAUAAGGACUAAAAGGUAUAAUAGGUAAUGUGAAAUAGGAAGAAAAGGGGCAAAGG